rnacentral:rRNA from 1 species
GAUGAACGCUGGCGGCGUGCCUAAUACAUGCAAGUCGAGCGAACAGACGAGGAGCUUGCUCCUCUGACGUUAGCGGCGGACGGGUGAGUAACACGUGGAUAACCUACCUAUAAGACUGGGAUAACUUCGGGAAACCGGAGCUAAUACCGGAUAAUAUAUUGAACCGCAUGGUUCAAUAGUGAAAGACGGUUUUGCUGUCACUUAUAGAUGGAUCCGCGCCGCAUUAGCUAGUUGGUAAGGUAACAGCUUACCAAGGCAACGAUGCGUAGCCGACCUGAGAGGGUGAUCGGCCACACUGGAGCUGAGACACGGUCCAGACUCCUACGGGAGGCAGCAGUAGGCAAUCUGCCGCAAUGGGCGAAAGCCUGACGGAGCAACGCCGCGUGAGUGAUGAAGGCCUUCGGAUCGUAAAACUCUGCUAUUAGGGAAGAACAAAUGUGUAAGUAACUAUGCACGUCGUGACGGUACCUAAUCAGAAAGCCACGGCUAACUACGUG